rnacentral:rRNA from 1 species
ACGAGCCUACGGGGGGCAGCAGUGAGGAAUAUUGGUCAAUGGGCGGGAGCCUGAACCAGCCAAGCCGCGUGAAGGAAGAAGGCGCCAGGCGUCGUAACCUUCUUUUGUCGGGGAACAAAGGGCGCCACGCGUGGCGUUGUGAGUGUACCCGAAGAAAAAGCAUCGGCUAACUCCGUGCCAGCAGCCGCGGUAAUACGGAGGAUGCGAGCGUUAUCCGGAUUUAUUGGGUUUAAAGGGAGCGUAGGUGGAUUGUUAAGUCAGUUGUGAAAGCUUGCGGCUCAACCGUAAAAUUGCAGUUGAAACUC